rnacentral:tRNA from 1 species
GCCGGCUUGGCGGAACGGUAGACGCGGCGCACUCAAAAUGCGCUGUCCGAGAGGGCGUGGGGGUUCGAGUCCCCCAGCCGGCA